AAUCAACGCUGGCGGCGUGCCUAACACAUGCAAGUCGAACGCGAAAGUCCCGCAAGGGAUUAGUAGAGUGGCAAACGGGUGAGUAACACGUGGGUGACCUGCCUUCGAGCGGGGGAUAACGUCCCGAAAGGGACGCUAAUACCGCAUAACAUCCUGCCUUUUAAGAGGCGGUGAUCAAAGCCGGGGAUUCGCAAGAACCUGGCACUUGAAGAGGGGCCCGCGCCUGAUUAGCUAGUUGGUGGGGUAANGGCCUACCAAGGCAACGAUCAGUAUCCGGCCUGAGAGGGCGGACGGACACACUGGGACUGAGACACGGCCCAGACUCCUACGGGAGGCAGCAGUGGGGAAUUGUUCGCAAUGGGCGCAAGCCUGACGACGCAACGCCGCGUGGAGGAUGAAGACCU
rnacentral:rRNA from 1 species